UGAACGCUGGCGGCGUGCCUAAUACAUGCAAGUCGAGCGAACGGACGAGAAGCUUGCUUCUCUGAUGUUAGCGGCGGACGGGUGAGUAACACGUGGAUAACCUACCUAUAAGACUGGGAUAACUUCGGGAAACCGGAGCUAAUACCGGAUAAUAUUUUGAACCGCAUGGUUCAAAAGUGAAAGACGGUCUUGCUGUCACUUACAGAUGGAUCCGCGCUGCAUUAGCUAGUUGGUAAGGUAACGGCUUACCAAGGCAACGAUGCAUAGCCGACCUGAGAGGGUGAUCGGCCACACUGGAGCUGAGACACGGUCCAGACUCCUACGGGAGGCAGCAGUAGGGAAUCUUCCGCAAUGGGCGAAAGCCUGACGGAGCAACGCCGCGUGAGUGAUGAAGGUCUUCGGAUCGUAAAACUCUGUUAUUAGGGAAGAACAUAUGUGUAAGUAACUGUGCACAUCUUGACGGUACCUAAUCAGAAAGCCACGGCUAACUACGUG
rnacentral:rRNA from 1 species